AUGGCUCUGCUGUGCCUCCACAGCCAGAGGCAGAAAUGGUUCUGGAAAACCGGCAGGAGAGUCCUCUUGGGCUCAGGUCCUGUUUCCCACUCAGGCCUCAGGUUGGCCACUGUGAGAAGAGGAUACUGGUCUAGAUGGCAGGAUCCAGCACGCUCUCCUUACGCUGUUAUGGCAUUCAGAGAUAGACUGCCUUUGGACAUGGAGGUUCUUCCCCCUUCCCUGACUUUGGGGAUGGAUUCUUGCGCAGCGCUUCCUCCGCGCCCCACUCGCCCCACCAAAAACCCUUCUCGACCUGGCGACGGGGAGCUCUCCUUACCCACCGCCCACCCCAGACGCUUCCUGCGGUGCCCCCUCGUCCUCCUCCUCCUCCUGCUUCAGAAGCAGCGGCGGCAACGAGAAGGCAUUGAGCCCUUCCAAGCCCCGGGGCCGGUUUCCAGGGCAACUCUGAACGCCCGAUCCCAUUGUGACCUCCGCUCCCUCCGCGGGGAGGCAUUGCCCAGCCAUGGCUCAGCGCAGUCCGGUCCAGUCCCCGGUCAGGGGAAGCGCCAUGGAGGCGGGGAAACCCGAGGACGCCCCGCCGGCCGUGGUCACCUUCUUCCAGCCCCACGUCGGCGGCCAAGUGCUGGUGCUUUUCAGUUUGCUCAGUGGCAGCGAAGCUGUUUUAAAGAGGUUUUUACCCAAGAGUCAUCUUUCUAAGGUGAUCAUUCGUGACAACAUCAGUGUCCAGAGAGUGCACGAUAUCAAGGUACAUCUCGCUAUUGAACCUCCUUACCUGAGCCUCCUGCUUGUGUUACAUUUCAAAUGCACAAGAGAAUGUUUCUUUAGGCUGAUGAGCCAAAUAACUAUUGUGUAUCCGGGAACUUGUUUGUAUACCUCUAUCUCUUUUAUGUUCAAGAAGCUCCCUUUGUGUCAAUGGAGGAAGAAGACAUUCUUUGUGUGAAUGGAGAAAGAAGGCGUUCUGUGCACACAAUGUCCUUGCAAAUCAACUCCAUCCACAGGAAUGAGCAGAGUUGUGGAGGUGGAAAGAGCUCCACAUGGCUCCCGAACCAGGAAUACUUUGGCUGCAUGCACACAGUGGUUUAUCCCAUUUCUCCAGUGCUUCCCUGUUAAUUUCUGCAUUAUAUUUGAGCUUUCAUACAACGCAAAAGCCACUUCUGGAAAACUAAUGGAAUACAGUGCAUAUUGGGCAUUUUGUUUCCAUGUUUUUGAGCCCCCGAAAAUGUGUUUGCAGUCCCCAGUUUACCUGGAAAAUUGUGGGAGUAAAGCAAUGAAAUUUGGGGUAGUAUACUGGCAUACGUCCCCCCCCCCUGCUCUUUUCAUGGGGGAAAUAGAAGCACACAUAUGUGGAAAGGGCGGCGGCGGCAGCGGGGCAGUUAAUGACAUUAUCCAGUGACAUGCGCGUCUGAAUGCACCCCUAGGUUACACAACUGGAUUUUGUGUUCAAGCACAACAAACCCGCUUCUGACCAGGUAGAGUGGCAUGAAUUUCACACACAAGCUCUGAUUGGCUGAGUAGUUUGUAGGGCUUUUCCUUCUGUAUGUUUGCUUAUAUGUCUCUCUUCCAUGAAUGGAGAAAGACAGAACCUCUCUGUUCCUUAAUCCUCAGAUUAUGCACCGGUUUGGUUCAGCUUGCUUAGAGUGUUAUUAAGACUUUUCUCUCUGGACUUUUGUCUGUGUUUAUUUAAGUGACUUUGCUAACAGUUGCUUCCGAUUUCUUAAAGCUCAAGCACAUUGAAGAAAGCAAAAGGAAGAUGGGCAAUCUCUUUGACCAGAUGAUGAAGAAGUUUGUGCAUGACCAGCAGAAGAAAAUGAACCGCUGGAAGAAGGAAUAUGGCCACUACCAGAGAAUGCUGGAGAAGAUUGACCAGAGGGCCUGGCUCAAAGCCCACACCUCAACCUUUGCACUGCCGGAGCUAACAAAGACCAAGGAUGUCACAGGAUGGAAAAAUGUGAACCUGCCACAGCAAAACAGGCUUAGGUAACUUGAAUGACCAUGAGCUAGAGGAGUGGCUUCAUGGUUCCACUUGGCACAGAAAAUCAUCAUGAAAAAGACCCAUGCGUCCGUCCCCCCCCCCCCCCCCGUAGGCUUUCCUGCCGGCUUGUCUCAUUAGGAUAAUGGAAUUAAAGUUAAUACAAGACCUUCACGGCAUCCAUGUGGCACAAAUGUUUUUGUUGUAGGCCUUUAAUUGGAUUUUUUUUGCUGUUCAGAGGGCUUUACAUUCUUUUUGCAGGUCCAACCUUACCAUUAGGCAAAAUGCAGCAGCAGAUUUUGGGUGUUAUGGAAAAGUUGCAAAUUGUUAGCUAUUGACCCAUUUAUUGUUAUUGUAUUCUUACUGACAGGAAGGGGGAAAGGUGCUUGCGGGUUGGUUUGGAUUUUUUUGCCUCGGUUUGGCCUUGGACGCUUUGCAACUUGAUUUGGGGUGGGAGGGGGCACCAGACUGCUCUAUCUCAAGCGGCAUAAUGUCUUGGACUGUCCUGGUCUUUUGGUUCUCUACAGCCUGUGAUUCCCUGUUUACAGAUAGUUGAUUGACUAAGGCUGAGAGAGAAAUAGUGACUUGCCUAAGGUGAGCCUAGUACCAUUGGGGGGGGUAUUUGAAUCAGCUUGAUCAAUUGGAUGUUUCCAAAAGAAAAUGCAUUUGGAAAGUGCAUUGAAAUGGAACAUGCUGGGUCUGUGGGGUCCUUUUCUGCAGGUUGGUGUUCUGGUAUGCAGCUGGCCGGCAAAUUUUGCAUAGCACUACACAACACCCCCAUUCCCAAACACCUGCAUUGCAUUGCAGCCAAUGUUGUGCAUAGCACACGUUGAAGGAGACAGAAGUACCUGGGUUUAUUUAGUGUCUGUACCCUGCUCUUUAGUCACAAAGACUCCCAUGGCAGCUUACAUACAAUCAGAUAUAAUUGUAACUGUCUGCAGGCCUACAACGUAAAAUACAUGGCACACAAGGAAAGAAGUAUAGGGAUGGAAGAGGAAGAGAGCAAACCCAAGAGCUCUUAUUAAAGUAAAAAAGUAGUUCUUAUAAUGACCAACUGGAAACAGUUCAGUGGCCAGAGAUGCCUGAUGAAGCUGGUCUUAGGAACACAGGAAGCUGCCUUAUACAGAGUCAGGCCAUUGAUCCAUCUUGCUCAGUAAUGUCUACAAUGACUGGCACACAUCAUGAAUAAAUGUAUACAUCUGUAUCAUGUCUCUGCUUACCUGCCUUUCUAACUUAAACUAAAACCCCUUGAUGAUGUAGUCUUUUCUCAAUCUGCCGGACACACAAACAAUUUAGCACCCUCCUCUUCAUGCCGUGUAGGCAGCAAUAGCCCUCCAGUGGUGAGCCUCUAGGAAUCCCUGAACUUGAAUACUCUCAUACCACUCACAUAGUAAAGGUAAAGGUACCCCUGCCCGUACGGGACAGUCUUGCCAGACUCUAGGGUUGUGCGCUCAUCUCACUCUAUAGGCCGGGAGCCAGCGCUGUCUGCAGACACUUCCGGGUCACGUGGCCAGCGUGACAAGCUGCAUCUGGUGAGCCAGCGCAGCACACGGAACGCCGUUUACCUUCCCGCUGGUAAGCGGUCCCUAUUUAUCUACUUGGACCCGAAGGUGCUUUCGAACUGCUAGGUUGGCAGGCGCUGGGACCGAAGGACGGGAGCGCACCCCGCCGCGGGGAUUCAAACCGCCGACCAUGUGAUCGGCAAGUCCUAGGCGCUGAGGUUUUAC
rnacentral:lncRNA from 1 species